rnacentral:misc_RNA from 1 species
AAGUCGUAACAAAGUAUACGUAGGUGAACCAGCGGAUGGAUCAUUACCAAACGGGCUAUAUCCACACCUGGCUGCCUUGUUUGCCAACUGCAUGUAAUGUAACUCAAGUCUUGUUUAUAACAUGGACCAAUGGAUCUGGUGGCUCAU